GCUACCUUUGCGACAACGUCUAUAUGUUCUCUGGCUCAUAAAUGUUUGGUAAUCUAGCUGGCAUUGCUCAGUUAACUACAGUCGCAUAUCUUAUAAAUUAUCUAGAAAAUUAGCUAAUCUAUCAAAUAGUUUUUUUUAAACCGGCAAACAUGUUAAUAGAGGUGUAACCUUAGGCUAACGUUAUACAUUAGUGACAGUUGGAAAAUACAUAUUAGCUAGCUUGCUAACGUUUUGUUUGCAAGCUAGCAAACAGUCUAACAUUAACACUGUUCACUAACCGCUAGCACCGAGAUUUCACCAGCCAAGAAGCGACCUAGGUUGGACAUACGGACGUUUUUUAAUGCAAAGACAAACAGGAUCACCUGUCACAGCAGGGUCAGACUGCCAGGGAGAAAAGUUAUGGAGCUGAGCAGGACCAGAAGGUGGUUGAGUUGACCAGUAUUGUCAUGCCAGAGAGUUGUGGUGCUUGGGAGGUGAGGUUGUUUAAGUCAAGUACUGUACUCGCAAAAUGUACAUGUAGAUCACAUGAUAUCUCCCACACAUAUUGGAAUACAGAGGUCUGUGUAGUAGCACUUUUCACUAAAGGCACAUAUGACACACUAUCUAACUAAAUUGAAUGGGUGAAGGCAGUCAUUUUCUUGUUUAUUCCAGCAGAAUCAAACAGAUGUUGUGUCCACCAGUGCAAAUAUGUCUGAUGGUGGUAACGGAGCUUCCCAUGUGAGGUUACAAUCAUUCAAAAAACCUAAACCACAGUCUGUAUAAAACAAUACAGUUUUUGCUUUUUGUAUUGUGUUGAUAUAUUCUAGGAAGAUGAGCAGCCAUUGCCAAGGAUACACCUAGCCCUGAAGUGGUUAGGGAGAUGUCAGAGCAGGUCAGCACAGAGGCAGAAGUAGCUACAGAUAAAUCAUAUUAGCUAAAUACAAGCCUUAUCACUACAAAGAAGCUGUCAAAUAAGACACUUCGUUUUCAAGUGGUUAAAAGAAUUCCAGGGGCUCCACUACAGUCCUAGUGUUUUUAUUGUGCAAAAGUUUCAAAAGCC
ensembl:lncRNA